CAGCAGCCGCGGUAAUACGAAGGGUGCAAGCGUUAAUCGGAAUUACUGGGCGUAAAGCGUGCGUAGGCGGUUUGUUAAGUCUGCUGUGAAAUCCCCGGGCUCAACCUGGGAAUGGCAGUGGAUACUGGCAAGCUAGAGUGUGUCAGAGGAUGGUGGAAUUCCCGGUGUAGCGGUGAAAUACGUAGAGAUCGGGAGGAACAUCAGUGGCGAAGGCGGCCAUCUGGGACAACACUGACGCUGAGGCACGAAAGCGUGGGGAGCAAACAGGAUUAGAGACCCCCGUAGUCCCUGUCUCUUAUAC
rnacentral:rRNA from 1 species